UACAGAGACUGCAAGCGUUAUUCGGAUUCACUGGGCGUAAAGGGCGCGUAGGCGGCUCUGCACGUUCGUUGUGAAAUCGCCCGGCUCAACUGGGCGGGGUCAGCGGAUACGGCAGAGCUUGAGCAAGCUAGGGGGCAAUGGAAUUCCCGGUGUAGUGGUGGAAUGCGUAGAUAUCGGGAGGAACACCAGUGGCGAAGGCGGUUGCCUGGGGCUUUGCUGACGCUGAUGCGCGAAAGCGUGGGGAGCGAUCCGG
rnacentral:rRNA from 1 species